GUCAGUGUGAAAAUGGCUGAUGGCAAGAGAGUUUUACAGUUGUUUUACUCAUUGUGUUUUCUCGUAUUGGGACAGACGGCAUCUCUCUUUUGAUGUGGGCUGAGUGUGAUCCAGGCAAUAAAACAAGCGUGUAUCUGCAACCCCCUGCCCACCUUCAGAGAGUUUCUCCUGCUCCGGUGUCACCCACAGUUCAACGUCCGUGGACAGACUGCCAGCCGGCGACCCAAUGGGGACUGGGGCGUAAGGGAGCGGUUUUGCUGAACGGUGCAUUCCAGGACAGAGAAAACACCUCUCUCCCAUCCCCAACACACGCUUUGUAACUGGAAGCCAUAACACAGACAUGAGACUAUGCACACAACAGGAGCUGGUGAGCCACAUGGCUUGAUGUGGCAAGAUUGAUAAGCUGUGAAAGCAUGAAUCAACAGUGAGAAAUGUUAAUGGGGUUAUUACGGCAAUAUGCUGAUCAAUGAGCAUUUUAAGAACUUUUCAUGACUGAUGACGCCAUCACUUAUCACAAGAGAAAUAAUUCAUUAAUGUCACAGGAUAUUUGAUGUUUGGACUCAUUGAAGUCUCAGUUGGCUGACGAGAGUGCCAAGGAUGGGGCCGGUGUCCUAGGGGCCUUUGCCAGGGGUCUCGAGCUGAAAGGGCCUCAGUGGCCAAAAAUCCUAAAAACAAGGACAAUGUAAUAUAGAG
ensembl:lncRNA